rnacentral:misc_RNA from 1 species
ACGUAAAGUAGAGUAUUCGUAGUGUAGUAAUCAAUAAGCGAAAGGAAUUCUCGUUUAGUUUCCAUUUCUUUAAUUGCAUCAGUAAAAAUACGAAUCCGCAUAAAUAUCCAUAGUCCAGUCAUCGAAUUCAACGCGAAUGUAUCAGUUAAUUAUUUCGCGUUCUCUACAAUUCCAUUUUUUCUUUUUUUUUUUUUUUUUUUACGAGAUUCCGCGUGUAUUUAACACGUAAUACGUAAUCGAGCCUUGCGCAAAUAUUUGAGUACGAGCCAACGUAAAACAGCAGCGCAAACACGAGCUAAAUAUCCCGAGACAACAGCAUAAUUCUCUUUCUUCUUGUUUGGCUUAACUCGGCAUUUACGCGAAAUAAAGUAAAAGAAGAAAAAAUAACCAACACGGGAAGCCUGGUUAAGCUCGCCAGAGCUGCUCGUCGCGAGAAAUUCCCGAAAGCGUUCGAAUUAUUUUUUAUCCGUAGCCGGAGAGGAAAUUCCCGGACGCUGGUCGAUCGACCGUGGUAUAAAAAAAAAAAAAAAAAAAGGA